rnacentral:rRNA from 1 species
GACGAACGCUGGCGGCGUGCUUAACACAUGCAAGUCGAACGCUGAAGCUUGGUGCUUGCGCUGUGUGGGUGAGUGGCGAACGGGUGAGUAAUACGUGAGUAACCUGCCCUUGACUCUGGGAUAAGCCUGGGAAACUGGGUCUAAUACUGGAUACGACAUGUCACCGCAUGGUGGUGUGUGGAAAGGGUUUUACUGGUUUUGGAUGGGCUCACGGCCUAUCAGCUUGUUGGUGGGGUAAUGGCUCACCAAGGCGACGACGGGUAGCCGGCCUGAGAGGGUGACCGGCCACACUGGGACUGAGACACGGCCCAGACUCCUACGGGAGGCAGCAGUGGGGAAUAUUGCACAAUGGGCGGAAGCCUGAUGCAGCGACGCCGCGUGAGGGAUGACGGCCUUCGGGUUGUAAACCUCUUUCAGCACGGAAGAAGCGAAAGUGACGGUAAGUGCAGAAGAAGCGCCGGCUAACUACGUG